CUGCCUCCUCGGGGCGUGGCUUGGAGGAGGCCCCGCCCCAGACACCUGUCCCACGUGGGUCUCACCUGCUGAAUUUCUCCUUCAAGGCCUCCAGCUCGGCCCAGCCCCUGCGCCCACGCGGGGGGAGCGCUCUACUCACCGUGUCGGCUCCGCGUUGGCCCCCGCCUGCUCCAGGUCCUGCGUGGACGGACAGAGAGAUGUGGCAGCAGCCGGCUCCGCGGGGCAGAGAGGGCAUGAUGUGCCCUUGGGACGGAAGCAGCGGCAACAUCUUGGCACCAGGGAACAUGCCCCACCCCAGAAGCAGCUGCAUCUCGGCAGCAGGUGAAGGGGCCCAGGCCUGGCCAGACCUCACAGCUCCUGCUCACUUCGGAGGAGGCAGCCCACCCCCUCCCCAGCUCCAUGCCCACAGCAAGGGCCCCCCAAGGUCAAAGCCAGCAGCCGGGCUGGGGGAAUCGAUGGGCCCUGCCUGGGGGGUUCAUCCAUCGGGAGCAGCUGAUGAGGUUAAUUAGCAGCUCCACUCCCUUCUGCUCUGCUGCUGUCCCCUCCUCCCUGCUCUGGGCAGACGUGGGGCCGGGGCACGGAGUUGCCUGGGGGGGGGGGGGGGCUGCCUGCUGUUAAUGGAGCUGCUGGAGGAAACAUCCCCCAUUGUGCUCAACAGCCAGUUGCAGGCAGGGUAGGUGUGCACCUCUUAGACUAACCCAUGCAGCUUGCUCUCUCUGUGAAUAGAUGGCUCCUCCAUGAAUUCAUCCAGCCCCUGCUGACCCUGGCUCUGCCACCGCCAUCUCCUGUGACCCCGAGUUUCACACCUUACAUAAAAGAGUCAAAUCUU